GGCGCUGUAGUGUAGUGGUUAUCACUCGAGAUUCUGACGCUGUCGUACACGAUCAUUGUUCUCGUAACCCAGGUUCGAGUCCUGGCAGUGCCU